UUCAACUGGCUACUAUGCCAGCUGGUGAAUGGCUCGGCUCGAGAGCCGAUGAAGGACGUGCCAAGCUGCGAUAAGCCUGUGGGAGCCGCAUGGAGGCGAAGAACACAGGAUCUCCGAAUGGGAAUCCCUCUAACAAUUGCCUUGCGCAAUAGGGAACGUCGGGAAUUGAAACAUCUCAGUACCGACAGGAAAAGAACGCAAUUGCGAUGUCGUUAGUAACCGCGAGUGAACACGACGCAGUCCAAACCGAAGCCGGCGAGGCGAGAGCCUCGUGGGCAAUGUGGUGUCCGGACUGACACUCAUCACUUGACUCUUUCCGAGAAGUCUUCUGGAACGGAGCGUGAUACAGGGUGACAACCCCGUAUCGGAAAGCAGUAGAGUGUGCGUCAGCUCCAGAUUAGCGUGGUCGGAUAUCCCGCGUGAACGUCUCAGGCAUCCCCUGAGAAGACUAAACACUCCUCGAGACCGAUAGCGAACAAGUAGCGUGAGCGAACGCUGCAAAGCACUCCACCAAGGACCGUGCAAUAGGGCCUGAAAUCAGCUGGCGAUCGAACGACGUGGCACAAAAGGUCGCUUUCGGAAUGACCGACGCGCGAGCGUCCAGUAAGCAGAAAGCGAAGCCGGUGUUGCGUCGUACGUUUUGAAAAACGAACCAGAGAGUGUAUCUCCAUGGCGAGUCUAAUCCGUGUAUCGGAGGAGACGUAGCGAAAGCGACAUGGCCGCAGUCUUACGACCAGGGCCGCCGUGUUCAAGCGCGGGGAGUCGUGGGGAUACGACCCGAAACCGAGUGAUCUACUCAUGGGCAGGGUGAAGCGUACCGAAAGGCACGUGGAGGCCCGCUAGCGUUGGUGUCUUACAAUACCCUCGCGUGACCUAUGUGUAGGGGUGAAAGGCCCAUCGAACUCGGCAACAGCUGGUUCCAACCGAAACAUGUCGAAGCAUGACCUCACCCGAGAUAGUCCGUGAGGUAGAGCCACCGAUUACUCGUUCCGCCUCCGAGAGGAGUCGGUCGGGUUGUCGAACUCCGAACUUACGGACGUUGUAGACGUUGGGAGUCCGGUGUGCGGAGUAAGUCUGUGCACCAUACGGGAGACAACCCAGCGGAUGGUUAAGGACCCGAAAUAUGGAUUAAGUGCGAUUGAAGGUGGUCUCGAGCCCUAAACAGCCGGGAGGUGAGCUUAGAAGCAGCAACCCUCUAAGAAAAGCGUAACAGCUUACCGGCCGAGGUUCGAGGCACCCAAAAUGAUCGGGGCUCAAAUCCAUUUCCGACACCAUCCAGCACCCAUCAGGGUGAUCACGUAGGUCGGCGUACUGGUCGGGUGGAAGCACGGGCGAGAGCUCGCGUGGACCGACCAGUAACGAAAAUUCUGGUCAUAGUAGUAGCGAUAGUCGGGUGAGAACCUCGACGGCCUUACGAGCAAGGGUUCCUCGGCACUGCCAAUCAGCCGAGGGUUAGUCGAUCCUAAGUCCGUCCGUAAUUCGACACGGACAAAUGGGAAACUGGUUAAUAUUCCAGUACCACUGCCAUCAAAAGUCGACGCCGUAGGAAACAACGAGCUGGGGCUUCCCCAGUCGAAUUGGAGAAUCUCGUGGAAGCCGUCACGGCACGAAGCGAGCGAAGUCCGAGAUAGAGCAAUUCGUUGGUACCUAGGGCCCGUGAAAAGACGAGUGCAGUGUUCGUACCGAGAUCCGACACAGGUGCUCUGGCAGCGCAAGCCAAGGUCUGUCGGGCCACAACCGGCGUUAGGGAAUUCGGCAAGUUAGUCCCGUACGUUCGCAAGAAGGGAUGCCUGCCCCGGAAUGGGGCAGGUUGCAAUAACUCGGACGCUCCGACUGUCUAGUAACAACAUAGGUGACUGCAAAUGCGCAAGCACUCGUACAGUCACUGAAUCCUGCCCAGUGCGGGUAUCUGAACACCUCGUACAAGAGGACGAAGGACCCGUCAACGGCGGGGGUAACUAUGACCCUCUUAAGGUAGCGUAGUACCUUGUCGCUUCAGUAGCGACUUGCAUGAAUGGAUUAACGAGAGCGUCACUGUCCCAACGCUGGCCCCGGUGAACUGUACGUUCCAGUGCGGAGUCUGGAGACCCCCAAGGGGAAGCGAAGACCCUAUAGAGCUUCACUGCAGGCUGUCGCUGAGACGUGGUCGCUACUGUGCAGCAUAGGUAGGAGGCGUUACAGAGGUACCCGCGCUAGCGGGCCACCCAGCCAUCAUUGAAAUACUACCCGGUAGUGACUGCGACUCUCACUCCUGGCGGAGGACACCGGUAGCCGGGCAGUUUGACUGGGGCGGUACGCGCUUGAAAAGAUAUCGAGCGCGCCCCAAGAUUUCCUCACUCGGGUCGGGAACCCGAGGCAGAGCGCAAGAGCAAAAGGAAGUCUGACAGUGACAUUCCCAACGAGUGUCGCUGACGCGAAAGCGUGGUCUAGCGAACCCACAAGGCCUAUUGAUGAGGCCUGUGGAUGACAGAAAAGCUACCUUAGGGAUAACAGAGUCGUCACUCGCAAGAGCACAUAUCGACCGAGUGGCUUGCUACCUCGAUGUCGGUUCCCUCCAUCCUGCCCGUGCAGAAGCGGGCAAGGGUGAGGUUGUUCGCCUAUUAAAGGAGGUCGUGAGCUGGGUUUAGACCGUCGUGAGACAGGUCGGCUGCUAUCUAUUGGGGGUGUUAGGUACGUGCCAUGAACAGUCGUAUAGUACGAGAGGAACUACGGUUGGGCACCACUGGUGUAUCGGUUGUCCGACAGGGCAGUUGCCGAGUAGCUACGUGCCACGGGGUAAGGGCUGAACGCAUCUAAGCCCGAAACCCACAUGAAAAAGACGUACCAUUGAGGACACUCGUAGAAGACGAGUUCGAUAGACUCGGGAUGUACGCACCAAGGCAACGAGGUGUUGAGUCCACGAGCACUAACAGUCCAAGCCAAUAUUC
rfam:uncultured archaeon A07HN63 genomic scaffold scf7180000020198, whole genome shotgun sequence.